rnacentral:rRNA from 1 species
UUGGAGGGCAAGUCUGGUGCCAGCAGCCGCGGUAAUUCCAGCUCCAAUAGCGUAUAUUAAAGUUGCUGCAGUUAAAAAGCUCGUAGUUGAAUUUCGGGACCAUCAUGUCGGUCGUGCCUCGGUACGUACUGGUAUUGUUGGUUUCUCCCUUCUGACGAACCAUGAUGUCAUUUAUUUGGUGUUGUGGGGAAUCAGGACUGUUACUUUGAAAAAAUUAGAGUGUUUAAAGCAGGCUCACGCUUGAAUACAUUAGCAUGGAAUAAUGAAAUAGGACGUUUGAUUCUAUUUUGUUGGUUUCUAGGAUCGACGUAACGAUUAAUAGGGAUAGUUGGGGGCAUUAGUAUUCAAUUGUCAGAGGUGAAAUUCUUGGAUUUAUUGAAGACUAACUACUGCGAAAGCAUUUGCCAAGGAUGUUUUCAUUAAUCAAGAACGAAAGUUAGGGGAUCGAAGACGAUCAGAUACCGUCGUAGUCUUAACCAUAAACUAUGCCGACUAGGGAUCGGAUGAUGUUAAUUUUUUAAUGACUCAUUCGGCGCCUUACGGGAAAC